ACCAAUCUGAAGGGGAAGCCGCCGCCGGCCGCUGCGCCGCCCACCCCACGUCUCCCUCUCUUUCGAACGGAAGAGAGGCCGACAUCGCUGCCGGCCGAAUUGACCACGGUGAUGUGACACGGCUGUGGCACCGCGGGGCUUUACUGGAAACUAGAAGAUGUAUUCAUAUUUAUUCCAAAGAUUUAGGAUGGGAAAAGAGGGAAAAGAAACGUGUUGCCUUGAUUUUAUGGUGUCGAGGAUUAUUGUCCCCCAUAUCAUAUUCUAUAAAUAGAAACACAGCCUUGUGAAAAAGAAUUAUGCAGCUUCGAGAAGGGAAAAGUGGAUCCAUGGAGUCCAUAUCUGCUGCAAUGCCGAAACCUUGACGGCUGAUCUGAGUUCGGCGGAUUGCUGGUUGUAUCGCCCGCAUGUUGCAAUGGCGGCAACGGGCUAUCUCUUAUAGGUUAUAAGUAGAUCUUCCCCUAAUAAAAAAUACCCAUACACAAUCAUGUUGCCAAUCAUAUAGCCGGUUGCACGAAGGUGAAGUGUUUCGGUGACCUCUUUUGAAGCUGCUGAGAUGUUCCUCUCCAAUCCUCAAUCUGCCGCUCAUACUGCUGUGACCGGCAAUAUCCUUAUGUGGUUAACCUUCUUUGAGAGGCACGAGCUUCUUGUUAAUGCAUUUUUGUAUAGAAAUAUUUUUGUGCUUAUGGAUAAUCAUGCAUGUAUGUUGUUAUUUGAGAUAGAGUUAAAGAUGGUCUCAUAUUAACUUAUCUUUUGAUGUAAUGGCUAAAUUGUUAUUUUUUUGACAUUGGAUAAUUAACUGUGAUUAUUGUUUGU